AUAAUUGAAAACGGAUAUUUAUUUUAUGGUAAAAAAAAACCCGGGAGUAGGAAAUCAGUCCGUACGAAGCCCCCUUUCAGUGAAAAUUGAAAAUAUCAGAAACUUCCAAUGGAGAAGAGAAGAUGCAUAGCAGUAAGGAUGCACACAAAUGAAUUUUUCACUUUUCUUCGACAAGAUAUUUUGUUCGUUAACAAGCGCUGAUGCAGGUCUAACUUUUUUACCUAAAGCUAGACUAUGAAGGCUGACAAUUGAAAUGCGCCUUUUCUCCGUGUUAACUGUUACUCGGUGGACAACACUUUUGUAUAUCCCAUUGCUCAAUACUUCCAUGUGAUCUCCCAGCAGAACGACGAGAGCUCCUUUAAUGAGUGGAACUGAAUGCCACUUUUCACCUCGGUCCAUGAUUUGCAAACCCUGAUGAUUUUGUAGAAUGGUGGAUACCAUACCAUAAUCUGUGUGUGGUGGCAACCCUAGUGUAAGAUCUGGCUCAGGACAUGCUGGAUAGCAAUUAACUGCCAUGACCUGGGAGCCUUCUGCAAUGUCUUCAUGUGACAUGGACACUUGACGACAAGUAGUACCUGGAAGAAACCAAGUUCCUUGCAAGCCAGGUGUACAUCGUAGAUUAGCUGAGGCCGAAGAAGAGGCUGUCGCAGAUAGGAUAGAUCCACGACUGGCAAGCAUGUGUUACACAGGGUUCCAUCGGGGCGUAGAGCUGGUGGAAGAACGUAACGCUUGGGAACAUAGGUUAGUCCCUCUUCAUCAAGUGUCAUGGCACUAGUGAAUGAACAAUUUGGUGAUGGUGAACUCUCUCUCAUUCUUCCCACCAUAUUAUGCUCUUUAUCAUGACUUUUAACUCCCUAUUUAUAAGCAGGAAAAUAUGAAGAUAUAUAUGAUUUUUUGGAGUUUUUAA